GACGAACGCUGGCGGCGUGCCUAAUACAUGCAAGUAGAACGCUGAAGAGAGGAGCUUGCUCUUCUUGGAUGAGUUGCGAACGGGUGAGUAACGCGUAGGUAACCUGCCUUGUAGCGGGGGAUAACUAUUGGAAACGAUAGCUAAUACCGCAUAACAAUGGAUGACCAAUGUCAUUUAUUUGAAAGGGGCAAAUGCUCCACUACAAGAUGGACCUGCGUUGUAUUAGCUAGUAGGUGAGGUAACGGCUCACCUAGGCGACGAUACAUAGCCGACCUGAGAGGGUGAUCGGCCACACUGGGACUGAGACACGGCCCAGACUCCUACGGAGGCAGCAGUAGGGAAUCUUCGGCAAUAGGGGCAACCCUGACCGAGCAACGCCGCGUGAGUGAAGAAGGUUUUCGGAUCGUAAAGCUCUGUUGUAAGUCAAGAACGAGUGUGAGAGUGGAAAGUUCACACUGUGACGGUAGCUUACCAGAAAGGGACGGCUAACUACGUG
rnacentral:rRNA from 1 species